CAGGUCUGUCAACUGUGGAAAAAGAAACACAACAGUAAUUUUUCAGACCCAAACAAGUUGCACUUAAUUGUACUGGACAGGGUUUUGUUCCCAGAUGAUUGUGGAGAUUCACCCCAGUUCUGAUGCUCAAAGGCACCAUGGGUAGACUUGGAGUGUUUUAUCCUGCUCAUUACUUGUCCUUCUCUCUUCUCUCUGCUGUUUUCUCUCAGACUUAGCCUAUUUAUUAUCAUCCAUCAUCCCUAUAUUCUAAUUUAGCAAAAAUGUCAUCUUCCUGCCUCAUUCAGGGUUCCACCAUAUGCCUUGUUCUUUUCUCUCUGCCUUUCUAGUCAGUUCUACCUUCUGGAUUUUUCUUUUUUUUUCCAUAUUUUUUCAUAUCAUCUCCCUUUUCCUCCUCUCUUGUCUGUGACUUUCUUUUUUCCACAGCGUAGUGCUGUAAAAACGUAUUGCUUAUGUCUUCUACAUAAACUUUCACCUCCCUUCUUUCAUACUUCCACCAAGCUUUUCUCUCUAACAAGCCUAUGAUGUCUUUUUCUUACCAUCCUCCUGCUAUUACCUUUAUAACUCUUACUUUCUGUAUGACAUCUUCAGCAGCAGGCUCCAAACAGAAAAAGGACUUGCUUUACCAAAUGACACAAGUAACAGCUGUGCCAUUUCCAAGCAAAAGGACAGUGGAGAUGAGAGCAACAGAGCUCCAGCCUUCGUGGACUGUAGUUCAGUGCUACAGAGAGAUGUCUCUGCUGUCAGGACAUCCCAGGGAGAACACUGUUCCUUGCAGAGCUGACUGGAAAGCUGCGGCUUACCCCGAUAGAGUGUACACGUUUUGAAAGCUUAUUUUAAAUAAGUAAAACAGCAAAUGGCCUUUAAGGCCACUGAAGAUCUGAUGUGAUCAACAAGAACAUUAUUGAAAUAAGAUUUCCAGCAUACAGGGGCAACAUGGGAAGAGAAUCCAGGAGGUAGCCACUACACAAAACAAUUUUCAGGCUGUCUGAAGUGGGCUGACAAGCCUUCCUUCUGACCAACAUGUGGACAUCCAUGAAAACAUCAAACUCUAACUUGAAAUGUUUUCUCUUGUUUUUUUCUCUAACAGAAGAUAAUGGCCCUAUAGUUGCUGCUUUCUUCCCCAUUACCUGACAGCACCAGAUACCAGACUGGCCUUUCUGCUUCCAAGUGGAAGGCACAAGUGGGCAUUGACAGAUAUAAGGGAGAGCCUGUGCUUUGGGAGCACCCACUGCUGAUGCAGUUCUCUCCACAUACCUGGUGUUCCCAGGCGGGCUUGUGCGAUGGUUAGCUUCUCAUGGGGAGCUUGGCACUGACAGCUUGUUUCAUCGGCAAAUGGAGCAGGUGUUGUCAGAGUCUGGAAGGAGGAAAAAACACAAAGAAAAUAAAAAUAUUUUUCCAUCAAGUAGUUAAAAAAGAACCAUCUAGCUAGUGCAGGAUGCUAUAACCUGGCUUAAUGCUGGUUUGUUCUCUAAGGUGUUUUGCUUUUUGGUCACCCCUUUUGGAGCAUACACAAUUCACACAAGGUAAAAUGAUGAGGAAAAGAAAGCUUUCCAAACACAUCAUGCAACCUAAUUCUUUGUUGAAAAGCUCAAACAUUUUUGAGGUGGGUGCAUUUACAUCUUUUUUUUCCUGUUUGCAGAACAAAGUCAGGUUUGAUGGUACAAGCAGCUUAAUCCUUUGUUAGGUCUCAAUGACUCCAAAGGCCCAAGAUGCAAAAUGUGUUCUGCUACCUGUAAAUAAUAGCUGGGUAAAAUAACUGGGAUUUGGAAAGUUUCAAAUGAGCCACCUCUUCAUAAGCACCAGUUCUUUCCACUGACAUCAGUGGGACUGCGGGUUGUUUUGCUGUGUUUUUAAUCAGUAUCCUAUAUAAUUUUGAGGAGCCAUUCAAAACAAUGCAAGAAUGCAACCAGAAGCCCCACCUAACUAAAGCUAACCAGGCUGCAACUCCUUUCUCUGGUCUGACACAUACUGUAAUAGUACUAACGCUCUGCAAUCACAGCACUACAAGAGUAAUUGCUCUGAAGAGCUUACAGCCUAAAGAUACAAGAGAGGGAGUAAGGAUGUAUGAAGAAUGACGUGGCAUUAUCUGUCAGGAAACUUGAUUUCAGAAACUGUAUUUUCUGCCCAUGCCUAUGUAGGAUGUUAUCAGCGAUCAGAACCAGAUAUUUAUUACCUUCCAUAUGGUCUGAUAUGAAAAAACAUGCUUCUACUGCUCUUGGCUUGAAAUCUUUAAGAAAUCAUAGCUGAAUUUUGGGUUGCUUUGUUUUUGUGAGAUGAGGUGAUGGCUGAGGCAAGCCGAAGGAAAUCUAUCAUCCACUUUGCCUCUACCACAAUUUAACUGGGACCCUGUGGCCUUGCAGCUGUGGUUUGGUUGGGUUUUGACAGUGACCGCUCGUGUGAUGCACAGUUGUCAUACCAGUUUGAGUAUCCAUGGUCUAUCAUAACAGAAACUCUUUCCCCCUUUACACUUUUUUCAGCUUUUAGAUGCUGAAUGCUUUUAUUUUCUUUAGCAUCCCUGAGAUGUUUUAAGACAUGUCAUGCCUAAUUGCUGCUGACUAUGGUCUCACCGGCUUAUUGCAUGGAAAGCUCAGAGGACAGUAGUAAAAUGACAGCAAAGACUUAAAGAUUCAUAUCCAGCUCUUUCUGCUGAUUUACUAUUAAUUUUGUCUACUGAAAGCACUAAAAUUUUAUGCAGAUUUCCCCCCCCCCCCCCUCCAUUUUUCUUUCCUUUCCUUUCUUUUUUUUUUUUUUUUUUUGUAAUCUUCAGUGUUGCAGGAAAUCAUCAUCACUAGUAUUUUAAUGAUGAAAAUCACAGCAUCUCUGUACAGACAAGGUUAAAAAUGGAGAAACUAUGACCAAGUCCAGGUUUCUGGGUUUCGUGGACAGACGCUGUUCAUCAGGCCACCCAUGCUGCACAGUGUAGAACAUUACACAUAAUCAUACCACACCAGCUCCUUUAUUUUCUAAAUACUGUCUUUUUGCUUCUGGCUUUGUGAUCUCUGUGUGCUAACCUGUCUUUUCAUCUCCAAGCAAGGUCAAGUUACACAGCAGCCCAUACAGCCUGAUUCCUGCUGGGAUAAAGAUGAAGGCAGAAAUGUUAAAACAAUAAUGGCUAUGGUCUGAGGCCUGCAACUGGGAAUCAGAUCGUAGCUCAGCAUAGGCUGUUUCCUUGGAGAUUACUUGAAGAAAAUAGGCCAGGUUUGCAGGAAGCUAUCUUUCCCCCCUACCCCAGGCAAACACAGUGAUGCUUUUAAUCCAUGUAAAUGCCUUUGCCACACUAAAAUUUUUCCCCCAGCCUCUGCUCAAUGAAGAACCACCUCUAUAAGCUUCUCAUCCGUCCAGCUUUUGUAAACGCUCAUCAUUAAAGUUCACUUUAUGGCCAACCAGACCUGUCAAUAUUCCCAUUACCCAGUGACCUCUAAGUCACUGGAUAUGAAAAUACAUUGAAUACAAUAGAUUAAAAUCAGCAAUAUUUCAUCAAAGCCACAUAGAGAAAUGCAUAAAUAUCACGUGCUGACAGAUUAAGGGAAAUACAGCAGUAGCUUCCCAAAAAGUAACUAUUUCAUUUUAUGUGGCUUAGAAAAAAUGUUGCUGAGCUUAACAAAAAAAUCUUGUGAGUAAAAUAAGAUGGGAUCAUUUGAGCAUAAGAGAAAAUAUUUCAAGAAAUUAUUAAAUCCCAGAAAUAAUUUAUCACACCUUUUUCAGUCUGCAUAUAAUUGCUUGUAUUCUUUCCAGCUUCUUGUCAGUAUUAACUAGAAUUGGGAGAAGAGAGCAAGUAAUUUACAUAGCAACUUUUCAUUUUGGUUAAUCCAUUAAAUUACUUUUAGAAGUUUGCUUAGUUUUGCCAAUAACCAGAUGGCUAGACAAAGACUUUGUGCAAAUGUACUUCUGUCUUUCCCUGACAGAUUUCCCUUCAUCUGUGCCUUCAUUAUUUUCUAGGCAUUUACAUUUUGCAAUUAGUCAAGCAAGUCAAAUUAGCCUUGUAUUUUGGAUCAAGGUGAGCUGCUGAGAUCUGCAUCAUCCUGUAGCAGGGUGCUCUACAGCCUAAGUGCAAGUUUAGUGAUGCAUUAUCUCAUUUUGUUUGUUCAGCACCUGCCUCCUCCUUGUGUAAUUUGGUAUUUUUGUACUGGAAGCUUCAGUAAAUUCAUCCAUAGUCACCUGUUCCCUGCCUCUAUCUUUUCUCCCCUCAGUCACAUUUUCAGGCUGAAGAGCUUUGCCACAUUUAUUUGUAUGGAAGCUGGCAGGCAACUUUGAUUAUUUUUUGUAGCCCUUCUCUGUUAAAUGCAAGGUGAGUUUUACAGUGUUUGAACUGAUAAUUCCUCUGGCUUCUAGAGCUUUAAUAGAUAGGAAUAGAAAAUCAUUUACAUGGUGCUCACGCUUUGUGGUUAUAUCUUUGACAACAUAAGCACCUUACACCUGGUGUCAGCAAGGAGACCUUACUUUCAUUUAAGUAGACCAAAUGCCACAUCAUUACUGUAUUAUUAAUAUGCAGUGUCUACAGAAAGCUUAUUACUUGUUGUAAAUGGAGAGUCACUGGACUCUCUCCAUUAGGACAUGUUAGUGAUACUUCAGAAGAUGUUAAAAAACUCUUGCAAUGCAAGGACUAUUUCCUGGGAAUGAAGAUGCUGCAUUCAAUUAUAAUUUAAUUCACUUCCAUCCUGUCCAAUAACCCCUGCAUAUCAGAAACCAUUCAUUCUAUGACAAGUUUAAAUAGUAUCUUACUUGCAUUCUCACAAUUUUGCAAAAUAACUGAAUGAUGCUCAAUAAACUUCAGGACAUUAAAAGAUGGAAGGUAGGUAAAGGGGGGCUUCCUAGCAAAUGCCUCACAGUUUCAUUUGCACCCAUUACCAUCUUUGUAACCCCUGACUAUAUUUAAUGAGAUGGAAUCUCAAAGAGAAGAGUAGAUUGUGGUAGGCAGCUCUGAGCUGGUUCUGUGGUGAGAUACUUCGUGAAGAAACCCUAAGUGACAGCUAGAAGCAGCUUAUUUUCAGAUAUAUCUCGAUGCUGCUGUUCUAUUAUCAUUCUUCAUAAUAGCCAUUUAACUCAGCUGCUAGUAAAAAAAAUAAACAUUCAUAGCUUAUGUUUCCAGUGAAGUAAAAGGAAAGUGGCAAUUUGUAGUGGAGUCAUACCACUGAAAUAACAGGUUAAAGGCACAAGCAGCUCCACACACUCCCUUUUGUUUACAGGAUAUAAUUAAUUGGGUUGUUUGCUUGUUUUCCACGUUUGGUUAUUGGUUGUGUUUUUUAUAUAGCAGCAAGGAAGACAGAAAUUUUUUUUAAAUGAGCAAACGUAGAUCCAUCUAUGCCAUAGUGCAUCUGCCAUUGUGGCUCUGCCUGUAGAGUAAUUGCGUGCACCAUGUGCUAAUGGAAGGUGCCAAUCUUUCAUUUUCUCUCCUCUUUUUUUCUUUUUAAAUUCACACAACUACACUACCUUCCUCACCACAUGACACAGACAAAACUGUUGUCCUCUUUGUAUACAGAAGAGAUGUACCGUCAUCUAAGAUUUUGCCAUCAACAAAUGUCUAACAAAUUUUCAGGUCUUGAACCACUACAGCUACACAGGCAAAACUUGGUAGAGCAGGCUGGGCCUGUGCUUUUAAAACAAUUGAGCUGACAGACAAAUUCUGUGGGAGGUCUGAUGCUGUAAUCUCCUUUUAUCUCAGAGGCAGUAUUUAAAACACAUAACUCAUUUUACUGGAACAAAUCAUGUGGGUAAGAUCUGCUCAUGUAAGGAAAGAUUAUUUUGGGAACCUGCUCCUGAUGUUGGCAAACAAUAAUUACAGGGCAAGAAACACUGACAUCAGUUUUAAGGCAUGUUUAAAAGAAAAACGCUAUCAAAACUCUUGAGAAUGAAUUAAAAAUACAUGCUGAAUUUCUUAAGUAUGAAUACUCUUUGCAAGUGGAAAGACCAUGUUAAGGACUACCAGAGUCUUCUCUUAAUGGUUCAGGGAGUGAACAUUAUGAAAGAUGAAACUGAGGUUGUCUCAUAUAUUGCCUUUAGUAACCUUGACCCAAACAGUUAAAUUUAUGAGCAGUUAAGUAAGUCGUAACUGAGUGUUAUUGGUAUGUGCCUCCAGGUAAGUUUUUCACAAACAAUUCCAAUAUUAAUGCAUGUAUAAAAAGAAAACCUAGCCUGUUCUCCCACAGUUCUGCUGACUGAAGGAAGUGGAUGUAAACUAAAAACAGGGCAAACUAACCUAAAAAGAACAAUAACUUAAAAAAAGAAAUAAAAUCUGUUUGCAAGCAUUCCAAAUUGCCUUAUUCUCAGUUGCUCUUUUUGGGCUUUAUCUUCAAUCAAAUAUACUUUGCUGCUUGUUAGUAUUGUCAGUAAUGAUUAAGUACAAGAUGCAACUACAAAUGGAAGAUAUCACACAAGAAAAGCAGUUCCCACUGCCUUCUCAAGAAGCACAAUGAUGUAUAUAUGUACAGAUUAAUAGAUUAUGAAACUAGAACAACUAUUAUAUAAUCUAGUCUAGUACUUGCAAAAGGCCAAAGAAUUUCAUGACAGGAUUCCUGUGUGCCAGCCAUAACUUUUGACUGAACUGGAAUAUGCUAUUUAGAAAAUAAAACCCAUCCUAGAGGUAGGAUGGCCCCCAAGUCAAGCAGAACUCAAGUGAAAGAACUGCUGCUGAAGCACCUCAAUCUCCAUGAACAGCAGCUGGAAAAGAAUCGUGACCCUUGAGAGCUUACCCACCUGAGCCUGCUCCCUCCACAGCUGGAAGGAGCGCUGCUUACAAGUGACCCAGGUAGGACUCACUGAAAGACCAAACUACAGCUAAGGUGGCAUGCAGCCUAUGAGCCUAGAUAUCCUCUUGUCCUGAUGGCUAAAGACCUAGCCAAGCUGUCAGAUGUCCCAGCACUGAGGAGGGAUAUGCAGUAUUUCAGGAUAAAGAAGUGUGUGGCUCCUUCAACAGGGCAGUGGUUAUCACAUGGAAGCCUGCAGACACCAUGGCAAAACAAGGACAUUGCAGCGGGACCGCAGAAUCAAACUGCCCAUGGUGCAUUUGCAAUUCAAAGCUGAAUGGCAGGUGCUUGCUGGCCCACAAGUAAUGCUGAGGUUUGGCCACAGUCAACAGACCAAAAACAUGUAACCACUGCUCUAAUGCCACUCUGUGUUCUAUUGAUCAAUCCAGAAAAUGGAGAUAAUGUCAGUUCAUAUGGUUUAGAUUUCUAAUACCCAUUUCUUUUUGCUUGUACAUUACUGUACAAACCUGAUGUAUGGCAUAAAGGACCUAACUUCAUCUUCAAUGUAAGCAAGGGUUAAUCUACUGAAAUCAACUGAGUGAUAGCUAAACUACUGCAUGAAUCUGACCCAGUAUUCAAUCUCUACUUGUGCUUCUACAUAAAGAAACUUAAUGCCUAUCAUCAAUUAUUUCAUGUCAGAUGUAGGCCAGCAUUUUGUAUAAACCGUUACUCAAAACAGAGCUGUGUUGAAGCUAAAAACCCCACCAUUUUUCCUCAUGCACAGGAGGCACAUAAUCUCUGCAGCUCCCCAGCUGGCAGAAGCACCCUGGGAAGAAGUAUUUUCCCAAAGGGAGUGCACUGGGCUUCUCUACCAAAUCCCUGAAUCAUCCAGUGCCUUUCACAGGAGCUUUUCACCUUAUGCCAUCUGCCUACGUGUGUGUAGGAAAGGAAAGCAGAUUACAUGGAAACAAAGGUAUAAGCACAUAUUGGGAUAGACAGUUCUGGCUGCAUUGAGUGUCUAUGCACAAUCCUGGACGUGUGGUUACGCGCUACACAUACCUUUUGCCUGGAUGGUUAGCAUUUGGUUCCUAAUUCUUUAUUUCUUCUGUUCCAUAUCCAUAUAUGUGUUCAAUUAUUUUUUUUACAUUUUAUAGCUAUGUUACAUUAUAAUGUGUUUUUGAGGAGGGAGCAGAAGGAAUCUAUUUACACUGAUUUUCUUACACCUUUUUAAAGAUAUGAUACAAACCUUCACAGUAAUGACAACAGCACAGUUUAAGAAAUUGGUAAUAUUCUACUAAUAAAAGCUGCUUCUAAAAUAGAACCUCAUAUAUACAUUUGACAGCAAGGAAUGCAAUACAUAGAAUGUAAUGUUUUCUCCCUGUGUUUGUGUGUCAUUUGUGAAUCCUGCAAAAAUAUCUGUAGUUCUGCAUGAAUAUGUAUCUUCAGAGAUGGAACUAUGACAUUCCAGAACAUAAACCAGUUCCAUGUCCUUUGAUGUAGUAAAGGGAAAUCACAACAGA